GAUGAACGCUGGCGGCGUGCUUAACACAUGCAAGUCGAACGAUGAAGCUCAGCUUGCUGGGUGGAUUGGUGGCGAACGGGUGAGUAACACGUGAGUAACCUGCCCUUAACUCUGGGAUAAGCCUGGGAAACUAGGUCUAAUACCGGAUAGGAGCGUCCACCGCAUGGUGGGUGUUGGAAAGAUUUAUCGGUUUUGGAUGGACUCGCGGCCUAUCAGCUUGUUGGUGAGGUAAUGGCUCACCAAGGCGACGACGGGUAGCCGGCCUGAGAGGGUGACCGGCCACACUGGGACUGAGACACGGCCCAGACUCCUACGGGAGGCAGCAGUGGGGAAUAUUGCACAAUGGGCGAAAGCCUGAUGCAGCGACGCCGCGUGAGGGAUGACGGCCUUCGGGUUGUAAACCUCUUUCAGUAGGGAAGGAGCGAAAGUGACGGUACCUGCAGAAGAAGCACCGGCUAACUACGUG
rnacentral:rRNA from 1 species